rnacentral:rRNA from 1 species
GACGAACGCUGGCGGCGUGCCUAAUACAUGCAAGUUGAGCGAUGAAGAUUGGUGCUUGCACCAAUUUGAAGAGCAGCGAACGGGUGAGUAACGCGUGGGGAAUCUGCCUUUGAGCGGGGGACAACAUUUGGAAACGAAUGCUAAUACCGCAUAAUAACUUUAAACAUAAGUUUUAAGUUUGAAAGAUGCAAUUGCAUCACUCAAAGAUGAUCCCGCGUUGUAUUAGCUAGUUGGUGAGGUAAAGGCUCACCAAGGCGAUGAUACAUAGCCGACCUGAGAGGGUGAUCGGCCACAUUGGGACUGAGACACGGCCCAAACUCCUACGGGAGGCAGCAGUAGGGAAUCUUCGGCAAGGGACGAAAGUCUGACCGAGCAACGCCGCGUGAGUGAAGAAGGGUUUCGGAUCGUAAAACUCUGUUGGUAGAGAAGAACGUUGGUGAGAGUGGAAAGCUCAUAAAGUGACGGUAACUACCCAGAAAGGGACGGCUAACUACGUG